rnacentral:rRNA from 1 species
UACGAAGGGAGCUAGCGUUGUUCGGAAUCACUGGGCGUAAAGCGCACGUAGGCGGAUGUGUCAGUCAGGGGUGAAAUCCCCGGAGCUCAACUCCGGAACUGCCCUUGAUACAGCACGUCUUGAGUCCGAGAGAGGUGAGUGGAAUUCCUAGUGUAGAGGUGAAAUUCGUAGAUAUUAGGAAGAACACCAGUGGCGAAGGCGGCUCACUGGCUCGGUACUGACGCUGAGGUGCGAAAGCGUGGGGGAGCAAACAGG